rnacentral:sRNA from 1 species
GGGCAGUAACAGUAGGGAAAACAGAGACGUUC